UACGUAGGGGGCAAGCGUUGUCCGGAAUCAUUGGGCGUAAAGAGCGCGUAGGCGGUCCGGUAAGUCCGCUCUGAAAGUCCGGGGCUCAACCCCGGGAGGCGGGCGGAUACUGUCGGGCUAGAGUCCGGAAGAGGCGAGUGGAAUUCCUGGUGUAGCGGUGAAAUGCGCAGAUAUCAGGAGGAACACCGGAUGGCGAAGGCAGCUCGCUGGGACGGUACUGACGCUGGAGGCGCGAAAGCGUGGGGAGCAAACAGG
rnacentral:rRNA from 1 species